ACUCCUACGGGAGGCAGCAGUGGGAAUCUUGGACAAUGGGGCACCGUAGCUCCAGCCAUGCCGCGUGAGUGAUGAAGGCCCUAGGGUCGUAAAGCUCUUUCGCCUGUGAAGAUAAUGACUGUAGCAGGUAAAGAACCCCGCGUACAUCCGUGCCAGCAGCCGCGGUAAUACGGAGGGGGUUAGCGUUGUUCGGAAUUACUGGGCGUAAAGCGCGCGUAGGCGGAC
rnacentral:rRNA from 1 species